GAUGAAGAACGUAGCGAAAUGCGAUAAGUAAUGUGAAUUGCAGAAUUCAGUGAAUCAUCGAAUCUUUGAACGCACAUUGCGCCCGCCAGUAUUCUGGCGGGCAUGCCUGUUCGAGCGUCAUUUCAACCAUCAAGCCCCCGGCUUGUGUUGGGGACCUGCGGCUGCCGCAGGCCAUGAAAACCAGUGGCGGGCUCGCUAGUCACUCCGAGCGUAGUAAUACAUCUCGCUCAGGGCGUGCUGCGGGUUCCGGCCGUUAAAAAGCCUUAUUUACCCAAGGUUGACCUCGGAUCAGGUAGGAAGACCCGCUGAACUUAAGCAUAUCAAUAAGCGGAGGA
rnacentral:misc_RNA from 1 species